rnacentral:rRNA from 1 species
CUUGCUAAGGCCGAUGGCGACCGGCGCACGGGUGAGUAACACGUAUCCAACCUACCGGUUAUUCCGGGAUAGCCUUUCGAAAGAAAGAUUAAUACCGGAUAGUAUAACGAGAAGGCAUCUUCUUGUUAUUAAAGAAUUUCGAUAACCGAUGGGGAUGCGUUCCAUUAGUUUGUUGGCGGGGUAACGGCCCACCAAGACAUCGAUGGAUAGGGGUUCUGAGAGGAAGGUCCCCCACAUUGGAACUGAGACACGGUCCAA